NNNNNNNNNNNNNNUUUGGUUGCGACAUCUGUCACCCCAUUGAUCGCCAGGGUUGAUUUGGCUGAUCUGGCUGGCUAGGCGGGUGUCCCCUUUCUCCCUCACCGCUCCAUGUGCGUCCCUCCGGAAGCUGUGCACCUGGUCGAAGAGGAUGACCGUCCCCCAUAGAGGAGGACUGGUCUUCAGUUAAGGGUGUAUGAGUAGCUGUGCUUCCCUGUGAGAACCUCCAAACAAGCUUUCAAGGAAAGAUUCUUUUGCAGGCUGAUUCUUCUAUUUUGCAUUUUGCUUAGACCAAGUUAGAGAUUGUAAGAUAAGCUGGUAACUUACUAUAGUGUUUAUUU
ensembl:misc_RNA 7SK 7SK RNA